rnacentral:rRNA from 1 species
AACGCGAAGAACCUUACCUACCCUUGACAUGUACGGAAUCCUGCCGAGAGGUGGGAGUGCCCGAAAGGGAGCCGUAACACAGGUGCUGCAUGGCUGUCGUCAGCUCGUGUCGUGAGAUGUUGGGUUAAGUCCCGCAACGAGCGCAACCCUUGUCCCUAGUUGCUACGCAAGAGCACUCUAGGGAGACUGCCGGUGACAAACCGGAGGAAGGUGGGGAUGACGUCAAGUCCUCAUGGCCCUUAUGGGUAGGGCUUCACACGUCAUACAAUGGUCGGAACAGAGGGUUGCCAAGCCGCGAGGUGGAGCCAAUCCCAGAAAACCGAUCGUAGUCCGGAUCGCAGUCUGCAACUCGACUGCGUGAAGCUGGAAUCGCUAGUAAUCGCGGAUCAGCAUGCCGCGGUGAAUACGUUCCC